GUGAGUUACCUUUUUAAAGCAUGCAGUCUUAUGUUGGAUGAACUCCCACAUAGAUGGGAAUCCAGAAGCCGACAGGCAUACACCAGCUGACCGUCGAUGAUGUGAGGAGCAGGGGGCACUCAGGACCGGUGCUAGCAGACUACACAGAAGGGAGAAAUGGAAGGUGGGCUGAUACGCAUGGCGUCGGGCAGCUGGAGACGUUCGUCCUGACGAAGGGUCUCGGCUGGAAACGUCGACUGUACUUCUUCCUAUAAAUGGUGCCUGGCCUGCUGUGUUCCACCAGCAUUUUGUGUGUGUUGCUUGAAUUUCCAGCAUCUGCAGAUUCCCUUGUGUUUGCGAGAGGAAAGGGAGGUUGGCUCACAAAUAGAGAAAGUUUGGAGACAGUGCGAAAGGAAGGAUAGUAGGUGAUAGAGAAGGGAUGCGCUCAGUCUGAUGGCUUGAGAUGUGUCUGUUUUAAUGCGAGGAGUAUCAUGAAUAAAGCGGAUAAGCUUAAAGUGUGGAUCAGCACUUGGAGCUAUAAUGCUGUGGCCAUUACAGAGACUUAGAUGGUGCAGGGGUAAGAAUGGCAGGAUGUUGCCAGGACUUGAAGGUUUACAAGGAUGUUGCCAGAACUUGAGAAACUGAGUUACAGAGAAAGGUUGAAUAGCUUAGAACUUUAUUCCCUGCAGCGUAGAAGAAUGAGGGGAGAUUUGAUAGAGGUGUAUAAAAUUAUGAUGGGUAUAGAUAGAGUGAAUGCAAGCAGGCUUUUUCCACUGAGGCUAGGGGAGAAAAAUAACCAGAGGACAUGGGUUAAGGGUGAAGGGGGAAAAGUUUAAAGGGAACA